GACGAACCGUGCGAACGUUAUUCGGAAUCACUGGGCUUAAAGCGCGUGUAGGCGGGCCGCCACGUCGGCUGCUGAAAUCCCCCGGCUCAACCGGGGAACGGGCACCGAUACGAGCGGCCUCGAGGGGGGUAGGGGGCACUGGAACUUCCGGUGGAGCGGUGAAAUGCGUUGAGAUCGGAAGGAACGCCCGUGGCGAAAGCGAGUGCCUGGACCCUUUCUGACGCUGAGACGCGAAAGCCAGGGGAGCGAACGGG
rnacentral:rRNA from 1 species